rnacentral:rRNA from 1 species
AAACCAUCUCAGUGGAUCCCUCGGCUUGUG